rnacentral:rRNA from 1 species
AGCGAACGCUGGCGGCGUGCUUAACACAUGCAAGUCGAGUGCGCAGUUUUUCCGCCGCAAGGCGGAGAAAUGGGCGCACGGCGCACGGGUGCGUAACACGUGGACAAUCUACCCUUUGAUGGGGAAUAACCCGCCGAAAGGCGGGCUAAUACCGCAUAACAUCCCAGUCGCUUCGGCGAUAGGGAUCAAAGCCCGCAAGGGCGUCAUUGGGAGGAGUCCGCGGCCGAUAGCUAGUUGGUGAGGUAAUGGCUCACCAAGGCUUGGAUCGGUAGCGGUCUGAGAGGACGAUCGGCCACACUGGAACUGAGACACGGUCCAGACUCCUACGGAGGCAGCAGUGGGGAAUCUUGCGCAAUGGGCGAAAGCCUGACGCAGCGACGCCGCGUGGGGGAUGAAGCUUCUCGGAGUGUAAACCCCCUUUCGACCCGGACGAAUGACCCGC